rnacentral:rRNA from 1 species
AUUGAACGCUGGCGGCAGGCUUAACACAUGCAAGUCGAGCGGGGGAAGGUAGCUUGCUACCGGACCUAGCGGCGGACGGGUGAGUAAUGCUUAGGAAUCUGCCUAGUAGUGGUGGACAACAUCUCGAAAGGGAAGCUAAUACCGCAUACGUCCUACGGGAGAAAGCAGGGGAUAGUCGGACCUUGUGCUAAUAGAUGAGCCAAAGUCGGUUUAGCUAGUUGGGGGGGUAAAGGCCUACAAAGGCGACGAUCUGUAGCGGGCCUCAGAGGAUGAUCCGCCACACUGGGACUGAGACACGGCCCAGACUCCUACGGGAGGCAGCAGUGGGGAAUAUUGGACAAUGGGGGGAACCCUGAUCCAGCCAUGCCGCGUGUGUGAAGAAGGCCUUAUGGUUGUAAAGCACUUUAAGCGAGGAGGAGGCUACUCUAGUUAAUACCUAGGGAUAGUGGACGUUACUCGCAGAAUAAGCACCGGCUAACUCUGUGCCAGCCGCCGCCGUAA